CUUCCUCGAACUUCAGCCGUACCUUUUCCUCUUCGCCUCGGUUCUACGAGGUAACGUCGAGUUGAAUCAAUGAAACCCAUUACCUCUUCUUAAAUGACUCUUUCCUCCGAUAAAUUUCACAAAUUCUAUUUUCAGAAUUGAAGGAAGGUCAUUGCAGAGAAAAGGGGUAAGUUCAUGGGUGUUGACAUGGUUCUGAUUGACGGGAAGGUUAUCUGAUUCUCUUUAAUCUCUUAUAAGUUACUUUAAUCCAUGAUUUUAUUUUAAUCCUUCACCAUCUAGAUUCAAACACCUGCUCAAACAAGGAUCCCUUUUAUGAGCUAACUGUUUUUUAUGUCACCAGGAGCAUCCAAAACUUCAGAUUCGCUGAUGCCCCUGUUUCAAUCAGAUUCAUAGAGCAAACAGGUUUCAUAAUUUCGACCAGCUAUUGUCACUGGCUAACACAAACACUGAAUUUCCAAUAUCAUUGGGGGAGGUGCGGGGCAUAAGGACCACUUAGACCGAGAAACCCAAUCCACUCGACGCCUCAUGGCUGAAGCCUAAACUCAUUACUUGCUUCACAUAGAUCCCCUUAGCGGUUUGGUUGUUGUCGUCUGACCUUACGUCGUUUACAUGACAUCUAGCUUACAUCUUCAGGGACGGACCAGCAUGCAUAAGUGUAUCCGGCAACCUUGCGGAGCUCCUCGAUGAGGAAUUAGUAAUGUCAAGUGUGGAACCAAAGGUUGCUGUGGCCACCAAUAUCAACCCUAAAUUAGUUGGAGGUAACCAUUUCUAAUACUCAUCUGUUAUUUUAGGCCAACUUUUUUUCUAAAUGCUACUCCAGAAACACAUUUCUUUUUCGGCCAUGAGAGUGUUGCCAGCCAAAGAUAUCUCACAAAGUAAGGAGUUAUAACCUUUGUUACUCUGAAAAAUAACUUACAUUUCUUCAUGUUAUAAAUCAUAUACCGAGUUGGUCACCGCAAGGUUGGUCUCAGUAGGAAGGUUCAUCCUCAACGUGUACAAAAUAUGGUGGUGUUAAGAAGAUCGAAACGUUAACACUGCAGUCUGAGCUAAAUGCUUAUAUCACAUCUCCCCACAGGUGACCACUUUCACGUAACCCAUCUGUUAGUGCGUUUCUUGACCGACAAUUACUUUCACUUUCGUUGGUGCCUUAUCCAAAGUGUCCCUGAGAUAAAGAGCAAACGAGGAAAGAAAGCUUUCUAUUACAUGGUAUCUCACCAGAAUCAACCUUGUUUGGACCGUGUGUAUCUCCAAACACAGAAUGUAUUGCAAUGAGGAAAGAAAGAUGAUCGUUGUGUAUGAGUAUAUGAAAAAGGGAACGCUUAAAGACCAUCUGUAUGACUCGGAUAAUCCUAGGUUGAGCUGGAGACAAAAGCUUUAGAUAUGCGCUAAAGGGCUUCACUAUCUCCAUACAGGUUCCGCAAGAGCCAUUAUACACUGCGUGUGAAGUCUGCUUCAGGCCAUUGAAGCUCUCGAACCGAACCACAAACUGGUAGUUUACUAGAAUCACAAGAAGCAAACUCAAUCUGAAUAGAAAGACAACUUCAUAUCAUCAAACUGAUCCGUGGUUUGAGCAAAUUUGAUGUAACAAAAGCUCCAAGAGCAACUCCGAGACAACAAGAGUGCCUACCUUUUGGAUAGAUAGAGAACAUUUCUUACUUUCAUUUCUUUUUUUUUGCAUUCAUCCAGAGGCUUUUGUUCUUUUUUUAGGAUUUUCGCUGACAGCUCUUGCGGC